rnacentral:rRNA from 1 species
GCAGUCGAACGGUAGCACAGAGAGCUUGCUCUCGGGUGACGAGUGGCGGACGGGUGAGUAAUGUCUGGGAAACUGCCUGAUGGAGGGGGAUAACUACUGGAAACGGUAGCUAAUACCGCAUAACGUCGCAAGACCAAAGAGGGGGACCUUCGGGCCUCUUGCCAUCAGAUGUGCCCAGAUGGGAUUAGCUAGUAGGUGGGGUAACGGCUCACCUAGGCGACGAUCCCUAGCUGGUCUGAGAGGAUGACCAGCCACACUGGAACUGAGACACGGUCCAGACUCCUACGGGAGGCAGCAGUGGGGAAUAUUGCACAAUGGGCGCAAGCCUGAUGCAGCCAUGCCGCGUGUAUGAAGAAGGCCUUCGGGUUGUAAAGUACUUUCAGCGGGGAGGAAGGUGUUGUGGUUAAUAACCGCAGCAAUUGACGUUACCCGCAGAAGAAGCACCGGCUAACUCCGUGCCAGCAGCCGCGGUAAUACGGAGGGUGCAAGCGUUAAUCGGAAUUACUGGGCGUAAAGCGCACGCAGGCGGUCUGUCAAGUCGGAUGUGAAAUCCCCGGGCUCAACCUGGGAACUGCAUUCGAAACUGGCAGGCUAGAGUCUUGUAGAGGGGGGUAGAAUUCCAGGUGUAGCGGUGAAAUGCGUAGAGAUCUGGAGGAAUACCGGUGGCGAAGGCGGCCCCCUGGACAAAGACUGACGCUCAGGUGCGAAAGCGUGGCAAACAGGAUUAGAUACCCUGGUAGUCCACGCCGUAAACGAUGUCGAUUUGGAGGUUGUGCCCUUGAGGCGUGGCUUCCGGAGCUAACGCGUUAAAUCGACCGCCUGGGGAGUACGGCCGCAAGGUUAAAACUCAAAUGAAUUGACGGGGGCCCGCACAAGCGGUGGAGCAUGUGGUUUAAUUCGAUGCAACGCGAAGAACCUUACCUGGUCUUGACAUCCACAGAACUUUCCAGAGAUGGAUUGGUGCCUUCGGGAACUGUGAGACAGGUGCUGCA